UUCGGAAUGAAACCAGAUAUGACUUAGUGGCGGACGGGUGAGUAACACGUGAGCAACCUGCCUUUCAGAGGGGGAUAACGGCUGGAAACGGUCGCUAAUACCGCAUGACGUGUUCGGAUGGCAUCAUCUGAACAUCAAAGAUUUAUCGCUGAAAGAUGGGCUCGCGUCUGAUUAGAUAGUUGGUGGGGUAACGGCCUACCAAGUCUACGAUCAGUAGCCGGACUGAGAGGUUAACCCCCACACUGGUACUGAGACACGGACCAGACUCC
rnacentral:rRNA from 1 species